AUACGUAGGGGGCAAGCGUUAUCCGGAUUUACUGGGUGUAAAGGGAGCGUAGACGGUAAAGCAAGUCUGAAGUGAAAGCUCGGGGCUCAACCCCGGAACUGCUUUGGAAACUGUUUUACUGGAGUGCAGGAGAGGUAAGCGGAAUUCCUAGUGUAGCGGUGAAAUGCGUAGAUAUUAGGAGGAACACCAGAGGCGAAGGCGGCUUACUGGACUGUAACUGACGUAGAGGCUCGAAGGCGUGGGGAGCAAACAGGAUUAGAUACCCUGGUAGUCCACGCGGUAAACGAUGAUCACUAGGUGUCGGCGGCCAUAGGCGGUCGGUGCCGCAGCAAACGCAAUAAGUGAUCCACCUGGGGAGUACGGUCGCAAGAAUGAAACUCAAAGGAAUUGACGGGG
rnacentral:rRNA from 1 species